AAAUGCUCACUUAUAUCCUUUCUUUCAUUUCCUCCUUCUCCUCCCUCUCUCUUUCUCUCUCCUCAAACUUCUUCCGUAGAAGCAGAGUAGCUAAGGGCACGUGUUUGCCGCACUACCCCCAUUAUUCAACUAAAUUUCAUUUCCUGUGGAGAAGGGUGCUCAUGCUUUUCUGAUUCUGGGCUUCUUGCAUGGCUUUCUGAGGAGAACUUUGUGUAAUCUGACUCUACUAUUCAGUUACACAGGCUGUGCUCUCAUUGGCAAUUGGCAUCAAUGGCAAAUUGAAUUGUGAAAUGGGAGAGAGAGUUUUGUUCUCUGCGUAGAUAUUGGAAGAGAAAGAAAUAUUAUUCUUGAGAGAUUAUAAUGCCAGUUCCACUUGCCCCUUACCCUACACCCCCAGCUCCAUAUACGCCUCCAGCUAAUGGAGGUACACAACAGAGUCAGCUUGUGUGUUGUGGGUGUAGAAACCUUCUGCUCUAUCCAGUUGGAGCAACAUCUGUGUGCUGUGCUGUUUGCAAUGCAGUCACUGCAGUGCCACCUCCUGGCACAGAAAUGGCCCAGUUGGUUUGUGGAGUCUGCCACACUUUACUCAUGUACAUACGUGGGGCGACAAGCGUGAAAUGCUCCUGCUGUCACACUGUCAAUCUGGCUCUGGAAGGUAUUCAACUAUUUAAGCAAAUCAGGUGGCACAUGUCAAUUGUGGAAACUGUAGAAUGCUACUGAUGUACCAAUAUGGAGCAAGAUCUGUUAAAUGUGCAGUCUGCAAUUUUGUAACAUCUGUUGGGACCUCGGCAAGCACAGUUGAGCAGAAGUUCAGCGCCUAAAUCUUCACAGUAACAAAGUCGUAUGAGAAUCUACCACUCUUGAUGUGGAUAUCAGAAGGCAGAUGCGUUAUUUUCAUAUUCACAUCAUGUAUAGAGUUAUUGCCCUGUCGUGAUUUUGUCCAAUAAUUUUGAUAACUUGGGUGUACGGAUAACUAUUCAUGAUAAGAUUCUUGAUUCUGUGUGCUUUGAAAAUCUGCAUGUUUAGAUAAGGUGAGUUCGAUUUUUCUCUCGUUGCCAACUUUUUUGAAAAGCAUCGCCACAACUUGAUCUCUAUUCUGUCUUUUGAAUCAGCAUAAAAGUCAAAGUAUAGCCAUCAAGGUUAGCAGUCAAAAUAAGGAACUAGAUGGUUUAAUUGUGCAGGAUAAGAUGCCACCGAGCACUUUGAUCAACUGGAAGGAGUUGUUCCAGCUUAAUCAAAGGUUACAGGUUCGGUCUUUUGGGAACACGAUAAUAUAGGUGGUAAGGUCACUGCUCAUAUAGGUCAUACUAUGGUUUGAUCUAGAUUAGUCAUGUUUGUAAUUCCCUGAGGGGUUGGCCAGGAUAUUGGGUGCAUAUGCAAGGGAAAAAAAAUGUGUUCGAUAACAUCUGGGUUUGUUCAAAUAUAGAUUUUGAAAAUUGAUUGAGGUAAGGCUUAUUCAACAGAGGUUGUUUAUUGCAGAGUUUUGUAAUUGCUGACUUUGACCAGCAUGGCUUAUUUCAUGAGUCCUCUAGACACACCAACAAUCAGAUAGACACUAGAAACCUUAUCAAAAUCCAGCAUGAGCUUUUUGGCUUUGGUUGACCAACUUGCCCAUGCUACUUUCAGUGAACCUCCAAAAUGGGUUUCUGAAUAUUAUUUUUUCCAAUUAAUUUAGUUUCUUCUUUUGCUGGGCUGGCAUGGAUAAUUAUACAAUAUAAAAUUUUAUAGCAAGCUGUAUUAUUUGUAUUUGAAAAGUGUUUAUGAAGGUAUUUUUGAAGUA